UCUGAAUCUCAAGGGACACAGGUAGAAGAGAAAGGUAUCCAAUCUUGGAUGCCAAUGUCCAGAUCUCUUCCCUUUUGUCCUAUUGUGCAACAUCCUGCCUAUUUUGAUAAUGCACCUUAUUUAUUUCAGUGAGGGAGCGGGGGCAGGAGGGUGAUCAUGAGACUCUCUCUGAAUUAUUAUCAUCAUCCUGGGAAAAAAGCCAUUCAACGGUUCCUGAUACUGAUUCAGCAGUGACAUCUUACAGUUCUUGAAGGAGCCUUGCCAGGCAAGUUAAAUCACUAGCAUCAUCUUGCCCACCACUUUCUCUCAGAUCUGAGUUGAGACAACCCAGAACCCUGGUCCUAAGAGCUUUGGGAAGAGCAGUACCCCUCCUGCUCCCGCUCCCAGACCACUGACAGUGAUUCCAGCUCAAUCCCUAAGGCCAUCAUUCAUGGGAACAACUCUUGUGGUGAAGGGGCCAGUCAUCCUGACCAAUUGCAACCCAAAGGGCAGACCCACAGACCAAGAAGACUGGGAAUAGCAGCACUGCCAGCCUUGCUUCUAGCCCAGCCCCUGCAGCCAUCAUCUAGGAGAUCAAGCCUUCUGAAGAUGGACCUGGAUCCAGAUACUGAGUGGGAGAUCUAGAGUUGAAGAGGCAGGUGCUUCUGCCUUGUCUCGCCUUUGGUCAUAGCUGUUUAAGAAAGUAAGAAAGGACAGAAAGAAUUUAAGAAAGUUCUUACCAUCAAAGUCCUUGGCAUUAUGAAACGUUUCAAUAUCAGAAAGAAGUCUGAUUUUAUCAGAGAAAAUAAAAUUA